UAGAGAAGGUCUCUCGCCUGCAUCUGGAA
rnacentral:piRNA from 1 species